rnacentral:tRNA from 1 species
GCCCCGGUAGCUCAGAUGGAUAGAGCAGCGGUUUCCUAAACCGUUGGCCGGAGGUUCAAAUCCUCUCCGGGGUACCA